GUUGUCGUGGCUGAGUGGUUAAAGCGAUGGACUUGAAAUCUUUUUGGAUCUUCCCGCUCAGGUUCGAAUCCGGCCGACAUCA
rnacentral:tRNA from 1 species